rnacentral:rRNA from 1 species
UACGUGAGGGGCGAACGUUGUUCGGUGUCACUGGGCUUAAAGGGUGCGUAGGUGGUUGCGUAAGUAACGUGUGAAAGCCCUCGGCUUACCCGGGGAAUUGCGCGUUAUACUGCGUGACUUGAGGAUUUCAGGGGAAAGGGGAACUCCAGGUGUAGCGGUGAAAUGCGCAGAUAUCUGGGGGGAAGGCCGGCGGCGAAGGCGCCUUUCUGGGAAAUUCCUGACACUGAGGCACGAAAGCGUGGGGAGCAAACAGG